UGGGGAAUAUUGCACAAUGGGCGCAAGCCUGAUGCAGCCAUGCCGCGUGUAUGAAGAAGGCCUUCGGGUUGUAAAGUACUUUCAGUCGGGAGGAAGGUGGUAAGGUUAAUAACCUUAUCAAUGGACGUUACCGACAGAAGAAGCACCGGCUAACUCCGUGCCAGCAGCCGCGGUAAUACGGAGGGUGCAAGCGUUAAUCGGAAUUACUGGGCGUAAAGCGCACGCAGGCGGUCUGUCAAGUCGGAUGUGAAAUCCCCGGGCUCAACCUGGGAACUGCAUUCGAAACUGGCAGGCUAGAGUCUUGUAGAGGGGGGUAGAAUUCCAGGUGUAGCGGUGAAAUGCGUAGUGAUCUUGAGGAAUACCGGUGGCGAAGGCGGCCCCCUGGACAAAGACUGACGCUCAGGUGCGAAAGCGUGGGGAGCAAACAGG
rnacentral:rRNA from 1 species